CGUGCAGGUGGCUCUGUAAGUUGGAUGUGAAAUUUCCCGGCUUAACCGGGAGGGGUCAUUCAAUACUGCGGGGCUUGAGGGCAGAAGAGGGGGUGGAAUUGCCGGUGUAGUGGUGAAAUGCGUAGAUAUCGGCAGGAACACCUGUGGCGAAAGCGGCCCCCUGGUCUGCUCCUGACACUCAGACGCGAAAGCUAGGGGAGCGAACGGGAUUAGAAACCCCGGUAGUCCUAGCCGUAAACGAUGGAUGCUAGGUGUAGGUGGUAUUGACCCCAUCUGUGCCGAAGCUAACGCGUUAAGCAUCCCGCCUGGGGACUACGGCCGCAAGGUUAAA
rnacentral:rRNA from 1 species